UUCCACUGAGAGCAGCUGAGGGAUGGUUUAUAGAGAUAGGUGAGGUUCCACUGAGAGCAGCUGAGGGAUGGUUUAUAGAGAUAGGUGAGGUUCCACUGAGAGCAGCUGGGGGAUGGUUUAUAGAGAUAGGUGAGGUUCCACUGAGAGCAGCUGAGGGAUGCUUUAUAGAGAUAGGUGAGGUUCCACUGAGAGCAGCUGGGGGAUGGUUUAUAGAGAUAGGUGAGGUUCCACUGAGAGAAGCUGAGGGAUGGUUUAUAGAGAUAGGUGAGGUGGACUGAGAGCAGCUGAGGGAUGGUUUAUAGAGAUAGGUGAAGUGGACUGAGAGCAGCUGAGGGAUGGUUUAUAGAGAUAGGUGAGGUUCC